rnacentral:rRNA from 1 species
AGAGUUUGAUCCUGGCUCAGGAUGAACGCUAGCUACAGGCUUAACACAUGCAAGUCGAGGGGCAGCAUGGACCCAGUUUUGCUGGGUUUGAUGGCGACCGGCGCACGGGUGAGUAACGCGUAUCCAACCUGCCCUUUACUCCGGGAUAGUCUCCUGAAAGGGAGUUUAAUACCGGAUGUGUUUGUCUUUCCGCAUGGGAGCGACAAAUAAAGAUUGAUUGGUAAAGGAUGGGGAUGCGUCCCAUUAGCUUGUUGGCGGGGUAACGGCCCACCAAGGCGACGAUGGGUAGGGGUUCUGAGAGGAAGGUCCCCCACAUUGGAACUGAGACACGGUCCAAACUCCUACGGGAGGCAGCAGUGAGGAAUAUUGGUCAAUGGGCGGGAGCCUGAACCAGCCAAGUAGCGUGAAGGAUGACGGCCCUACGGGUUGUAAACUUCUUUUAUAAGGGAAUAAAGUUCGCCACGUGUGGUGUUUUGUAUGUACCUUAUGAAUAAGCAUCGGCUAAUUCCGUGCCAGCAGCCGCGGUAAUACGGAAGAUGCGAGCGUUAUCCGGAUUUAUUGGGUUUAAAGGGAGCGUAGGCGGGCUUUUAAGUCAGCGGUCAAAUGCCACGGCUCAACCGUGGCCAGCCGUUGAAACUGCAAGCCUUGAGUCUGCACAGGGCACAUGGAAUUCGUGGUGUAGCGGUGAAAUGCUUAGAUAUCACGAAGAACUCCGAUCGCGAAGGCAUUGUGCCGGGGCAGCACUGACGCUGAGGCUCGAAAGUGCGGGUAUCAAACAGGAUUAGAUACCCUGGUAGUCCGCACAGUAAACGAUGAAUACUCGCGGUUGGCGAUAUACAGUCAGCCGCCAAGCGAAAGCGUUAAGUAUUCCACCUGGGGAGUACGCCGGCAACGGUGAAAC